rnacentral:lncRNA from 1 species
ACUCACAGUCAAGGUGAUCCUAUCCUAUCACCUCUUUUUUGCUCAGCCUCCCAAAGGCCAUGUCCUGCAAAGCUGUGACUGCUCAGUUCCCCUCGGAACAAGGGAGACUUGAGACGAAGCACAUCAAGCACCGGGGCGGUGGGUCGGGCUGAUACCUGGGAGACGCCGCGCGCUGGGACGAGGAGGCUGGCGAGGCUGCAGCUCUGUCGCUGCCCUGCGGCGCAGAGGCACCACCAGGCCGGGAGGAUGCCGACAAAUCCCGUGAC